rnacentral:rRNA from 1 species
AAAAAAGGUAAGCUACUAAGAGCGAAUGGUGGAUGCCUUGACUGGUAAAGGCGAUGAAGGACGUACUAGACUGCGAUAAGCUACGGGGAGCUGUCAAGAAGCUUUGAUCCGUAGAUUUCCGAAUGGGGCAACCCAAUGUAUAGAGAUAUACAUUACCUAUAUAGGAGCGAACGAGGGGAAUUGAAACAUCUUAGUACCCUCAGGAAAAGAAAUCAAUAGAGAUUGCGUCAGUAGCGGCGAGCGAAAGCGCAAGAGGGCAAACCCAGUGCUUGCACUGGGGGUUGUAGGACUGCAAUGUGCAAGAGGUAAGUUUAGCAGAACAUUCUGGAAAGUAUAACCAUAGAGGGUGAUAGUCCCGUAUGCGAAAAACAAACCUUAGCUAGCAGUAUCCUGAGUAGGGCGGGACACGAGGAAUCCUGUCUGAAUCCGGGUCGACCACGAUCCAACCCUAAAUACUAAUACCAGAUCGAUAGUGCACAAGUACCGUGAGGGAAAGGUGAAAAGAACUGAGGUGAUCAGAGUGAAAUAGAACCUGAAACCAUUUGCUUACAAUCAUUCAGAGCCCUAUGUAGCAAUACAGGGUGAUGGACUGCCUUUUGCAUAAUGAGCCUGCGAGUUGUGGUGUCUGGCAAGGUUAAGCAAACGCGAAGCCGUAGCGAAAGCGAGUCUGAAUAGGGCGCUUAGUCAGAUGCUGCAGACCCGAAACGAAGUGAUCUAUCCAUGAGCAAGUUGAAGCUAGUGUAAGAACUAGUGGAGGACUGAACCCAUAGGCGUUGAAAAGCCCCGGGAUGACUUGUGGAUAGGGGUGAAAGGCCAAUCAAACUUCGUGAUAGCUGGUUCUCUCCGAAAUAUAUUUAGGUAUAGCGUUGUGUCGUAAUAUAAGGGGGUAGAGCACUGAAUGGGCUAGGGCAUACACCAAUGUACCAAACCCUAUCAAACUCCGAAUACCUUAUAUGUAAUCACAGCAGUCAGGCGGCGAGUGAUAAAAUCCGUCGUCAAGAGGGAAACAACCCAGACUACCAGCUAAGGUCCCUAAAUCUUACUUAAGUGGAAAACGAUGUGAAGUUACUUAAACAACCAGGAGGUUGGCUUAGAAGCAGCCAUCCUUUAAAGAAAGCGUAAUAGCUCACUGGUCUAGUGAUUUUGCGCGGAAAAUAUAACGGGGCUAAAGUAAGUACCGAAGCUGUAGACUUGCACACAACUUAGAUUAUUUAAGUUUAGAAUAUGAGAAACUAAGUUAUAUGUUUAGUUAUAUUUUUACUGAUUUUUAUAGAGUAAAGAUAGAAAUAAAACUUAGUAAAAUCAGUAAAAAUAUUCUUAGACUAAAGUUAAGUAGUUUAAGUUGUGUGCAAGUGGUAGGAGAGCGUUCUAUUUGCGUCGAAGGUAUACCGGUAAGGAGUGCUGGAGCGAAUAGAAGUGAGCAUGCAGGCAUGAGUAGCGAUAAUUAAUGUGAGAAUCAUUAACGCCGUAAACCCAAGGUUUCCUACGCGAUGCUCGUCAUCGUAGGGUUAGUCGGGUCCUAAGUCGAGUCCGAAAGGGGUAGACGAUGGCAAAUUGGUUAAUAUUCCAAUACCAACAUUAGUGUGCGAUGGAAGGACGCUUAGGGCUAAGGGGGCUAGCGGAUGGAAGUGCUAGUCUAAGGUCGUAGGAGGUUGUACAGGCAAAUCCGUAUAACAAUACUCCGAGAACUGAAAGGCUUUUUGAAGUCUUCGGAUGGAUAGAAGAACCCCUGAUGCCGUCGAGCCAAGAAAAGUUUCUAAGUUUAGCUAAUGUUGCCCGUACCGUAAACCGACACAGGUGGGUGGGAUGAGUAUUCUAAGGCGCGUGGAAGAACUCUCUUUAAGGAACUCUGCAAAAUAGCACCGUAUCUUCGGUAUAAGGUGUGGUUAGCUUUGUAUUAGGAUUUACUCCGAAAGCAAGGAAACUUACAACAAAGAGUCCCUCCCGACUGUUUACCAAAAACACAGCACUCUGCUAACUCGUAAGAGGAUGUAUAGGGUGUGACGCCUGCCCGGUGCUCGAAGGUUAAUUGAUGGGGUUAGCAUUAGCGAAGCUCUUGAUCGAAGCCCGAGUAAACGGCGGCCGUAACUAUAACGGUCCUAAGGUAGCGAAAUUCCUUGUCGGUUAAAUACCGACCUGCAUGAAUGGCGUAACGAGAUGGGAGCUGUCUCAAAGAGGGAUCCAGUGAAAUUGUAGUGGAGGUGAAAAUUCCUCCUACCCGCGGCAAGACGGAAAGACCCCGUGGACCUUUACUACAGCUUGACACUGCUACUUGGAUAAGAAUGUGCAGGAUAGGUGGGAGGCUUUGAGUAUAUGACCCCAGUUGUAUAUGAGCCAUUGUUGAGAUACCACUCUUUCUUAUUUGGGUAGCUAACCAGCUUGAGUUAUCCUCAAGUGGGACAAUGUCUGGUGGGUAGUUUGACUGGGGCGGUCGCCUCCCAAAUAAUAACGGAGGCUUACAAAGGUUGGCUCAGAACGGUUGGAAAUCGUUCGUAGAGUAUAAAGGUAUAAGCCAGCUUAACUGCAAGACAUACAAGUCAAGCAGAGACGAAAGUCGGUCUUAGUGAUCCGGUGGUUCUGUGUGGAAGGGCCAUCGCUCAAAGGAUAAAAGGUACCCCGGGGAUAACAGGCUGAUCUCCCCCAAGAGCUCACAUCGACGGGGAGGUUUGGCACCUCGAUGUCGGCUCAUCGCAUCCUGGGGCUGGAGCAGGUCCCAAGGGUAUGGCUGUUCGCCAUUUAAAGCGGUACGCGAGCUGGGUUCAGAACGUCGUGAGACAGUUCGGUCCCUAUCUGCCGUGGGCGUAAGAAGAUUGAAGAGAUUUGACCCUAGUACGAGAGGACCGGGUUGAACAAACCACUGGUGUAGCUGUUGUUCUGCCAAGAGCAUCGCAGCGUAGCUAAGUUUGGAAAGGAUAAACGCUGAAAGCAUCUAAGCGUGAAGCCAACUCUAAGAUGAAUCUUCUCUAAGCUCUCUAGAAGACUACUAGUUUGAUAGGCUGGGUGUGUAAUGGAUGAAAGUCCUUUAGCUGACCAGUACUAAUAGAGCGUUUGGCUUAUCUUUAAUAAAGCAU